rnacentral:tRNA from 1 species
GCCUCUGUAGCUCAGUUGGUAGAGCAGUGGCCUGAAGAGCCACGUGUCGGCGGUUCAACUCCGUCCGGAGGCACCA